rnacentral:lncRNA from 1 species
AAAAACACACAGCAGUUAACUGCAUCCGUGUGUGCAAUUGAGAAGGAAAAAGCAAAAACCUGGCUCCGAAGCAGUCAGAAAUAGAAGUGGGAAAAGAAGCAAGUGAUGUGCGUUCUUGAGGUCCUCCGAAGAGAUGUCUUGGAGACAACAGAAAUAAAUGACCCUGUAAAUUUUCUUUAUCCUACUGGGCACCUUGACCAGAGCACCUGGAGCUGUGGCCUUGCACAGGUGUUGGGGAGGAACUCUUCUGGAUUAAACAUGGAAAACCCACCAACCACAGAGAUGCAAGCUUCAAGUAGCCAACCCCCAUGUGCAGGACUGUCUGGACUCUAGAAGAUGCUCUGAUUCAAGAGGAUGUAAAGAAAUUCUCUAAGCCGAUAAGAAAAAUAGAAGAAACCCAAAUGGGCAAUGAGUGCAUGGGAACUCACUCACCUCAGUGGAAAGGAGGGAAUGGCAAGCCAGCCCACUGAAGCCCACUGGGGACAUAGGACAAGUCUGCAAAGCAGAGACAGCCCCUCCAGGAAGAGCGACCAGGCCUUGAGAGGACAUGGCCUUAGGACCAGAUCCAGGGAAGACACAGUCACUAACCCCUGGCUCAUCUGGCAGGUGUGGGAAGCAGCCAGGCCCGUGGCUUCACCAGCUCCCCCCGAUCUCUGCCUUCAGCUGUCCUGCAGCCUGGGUCAGGCACCUAGGCAGCUUUAUGGCAGGCGGAGAUGCACCACCCACAUCCUCUUUCCAGGCAGGGCUUGCUGCCCUGGCUGUAGCGAGUGCGGCAGCAGGUGGCCUCCAGCUAUCAGCAACUUCAGAGAGCUGCCUUGCCUGAGGUCCCGUCCCUUCUGGGGAAGCUCCCAUCUGCCAGGGGGCUACAAAAGCACAGUGGACACCAUGAUGGGCAAUUCUGGCUGAUGGGAGCACCACCUGGUGGCUGAGGCAUUCUUGGGCCACAUAGCAGUUGACUGCCCUCUCCACCAUCUUUUCACAAGUGUUAAUCCCAAUAAACACCCAUCCUCUUCCAUCCCAAAC